rnacentral:lncRNA from 10 species
GCCCUAUUGUUCACGAUAGCACAAAGCAUCUGCUAAGAGAGCAUUAGAAUCUUUCCGAAGUAAGGCAAAACUUAAUCAGUGACAUUACCAGCACGCUGUAUGCCCUUCCAAAAAUAGAGGAUGUGGUGGUUCCAUACUAUGGCGAUUAUCUGCCCUAAGAGAAGUCCAAGUUCAAGUACACAAUCCCUUAUCUGCAAUUCCAAAAUCCAAAACUCUCUGACAUCUGAAAAUGUUUUUC